CCUACGGGAUGCAGCAGUGGGGAAUAUUGCACAAUGGGCGCAAGCCUGAUGCAGCCAUGCCGCGUGUGUGAAGAAAGCCUUCGGGUUGUAAAGUACUUUCAGCGGGGAGGGAGGUGUUGAGGUUAAUAACCUCAGCAAUUGACGUUACCCGCAGAAGAAGCACCGGCUAACUCCGUGCCAGCAGCCGCGGUAAUACGGAGGGUGCAAGCGUUAAUCGGAAUUACUGGGCGUAAAGCGCACGCAGGCGGUCUGUCAAGUCGGAUGUGAAAUCCCCGGGCUCAACCUGGGAACUGCAUUCGAAACUGGCAGGCUAGAGUCUUGUUGAGGGGGGUAGAAUUCCAGGUGUAGCGGUGAAAUGCGUAGAGAUCUGGAGGAAUACCGGUGGCGAAGGCGGCCCCCUGGACAAAGACUGACGCCCAGGUGCGAAAGCGUGGGGAGCAAACAGGAUUAGAUACCCGGGUAGUC
rnacentral:rRNA from 1 species